GAUGAACGCUGGCGGCGUGCCUAAUACAUGCAAGUCGAGCGAACAGACGAGGAGCUUGCUCCUCUGACGUUAGCGGCGGACGGGUGAGUAACACGUGGAUAACCUACCUAUAAGACUGGGAUAACUUCGGGAAACCGGAGCUAAUACCGGAUAAUAUAUUGAACCGCAUGGUUCAAUAGUGAAAGACGGUUUUGCUGUCACUUAUAGAUGGAUCCGCGCCGCAUUAGCUAGUUGGUAAGGUAACGGCUUACCAAGGCAACGAUGCGUAGCCGACCUGAGAGGGGGAUCGGCCACACUGGAACUGAGACACGGUCCAGACUCCUACGGGAGGCAGCAGUAGGGAAUCUUCCGCAAUGGGCGAAAGCCUGACGGAGCAACGCCGCGUGAGUGAUGAAGGUCUUCGGAUCGUAAAACUCUGUUAUUAGGGAAGAACAAAUUUGUAAGUAACUAUGCACGUCUUGACGGUACCUAAUCAGAAAGCCACGGCUAACUACGUG
rnacentral:rRNA from 1 species